GACGAACGCUGGCGGCGUGCCUAAUACAUGCAAGUCGAACGAACCGCGACUAAGUGCUUGCACUCAGUCAAGGUGAGUGGCGAACGGGUGAGUAACACGUGGGUAACCUACCUCAUAGUGGGGGAUAACAGUCGGAAACGACUGCUAAUACCGCAUAGGACAUAGGAUCACAUGAUCCAGUGAGGAAAGGUGGCGCAAGCUAUCGCUAAGAGAUGACCCGCGGGGCAUUAGCUAGUUGGUAGGGUAAAGGCCUACCAAGGCGAUGAUGCAUAGCCGACCUGAGAGGGUGAUCGGCCACAUUGGGACUGAGACACGGCCCAAACUCCUACGGGAGGCAGCAGUAGGGAAUCUUCCGCAAUGGACGCAAGUCUGACGGAGCAACGCCGCGUGAGUGAAGAAGGUCUUCGGAUCGUAAAGCUCUGUUGUUAGAGAAGAACAGCGCAUAGAGUAACUGCUAUGCGUGUGACGGUAUCUAACCAGAAAGCCACGGCUAACUACGUG
rnacentral:rRNA from 1 species